UGGUAGUUUGGUCUAGGCCUUCCUUGGUGACCAGUUUGUAACAAGGAAUGGCCCAGAUUUACCCACUAUUCCCUAUGAUUUUUACAUAAGCCAGACUAUAAGAAGAAAGGAGGAGAGGCCUUCGCUCUUUUUCCUUCCAUCAGGACGAAGAUGGAU